rnacentral:rRNA from 1 species
CACGUAGGAGGCAAACGUUAUCCGGAUUUACUGGGCGUAAAGCGCGUGUAGGUGGUUCUGUAAGUAGGGCGUGAAAGCUCCCGGCUCAACUGGGAGAGGCCGUUCUAAACUGCAGAGCUAGAGGAUGGUAGAGGGAGGUGGAAUUCCAGGUGUAGCGGUGGAAUGCGCAGAUAUCUGGAGGAACACCAGUGGCGAAGGCGGCCUCCUGGACCAUUCCUGACACUCAGACGCGAUAGCUAGGGUAGCAAACGGGAUUAGAUACCCUGGUA